UACGUAGGAGGCGAACGUUAUCCGGAUUUACUGGGCGUAAAGAGAGCGUAGGCGGUUCGUUAAGUCAAGUGUAAAAUCUCCCGACUCAAUCGGGAGGAGCCAUUUGAUACUGGCGGACUUGAGAGCAGCAGAGGGAGAUGGAAUUCCCAGUGUAGCGGUGAAAUGCGUUGAUAUUGGGAAGAACACCAGUGGCGAAGGCGAUCUCCUAGGUUGCCUCUGACGCUGAGGCUCGAAAGCGUGGGGAGCGAAGCGGAUUAGAUACCCGCGUA
rnacentral:rRNA from 1 species